GAUGAACGCUGGCGGCGUGCCUAAUACAUGCAAGUCGAGCGAACAGACGAGGAGCUUGCUCCUUUGACGUUAGCGGCGGACGGGUGAGUAACACGUGGGUAACCUACCUAUAAGACUGGGAUAACUUCGGGAAACCGGAGCUAAUACCGGAUAAUAUUUCGAACCGCAUGGUUCGAUAGUGAAAGAUGGCUUUGCUAUCACUUAUAGAUGGACCUGCGCCGUAUUAGCUAGUUGGUAAGGUAACGGCUUACCGAGGCAACGAUACGUAGCCGACCUGAGAGGGUGAUCGGCCACACUGGAACUGAGACACGGUCCAGACUCCUACGGGAGGCAGCAGUAGGGAAUCUUCCGCAAUGGGCGAAAGCCUGACGGAGCAACGCCGCGUGAGUGAUGAAGGUCUUCGGAUCGUAAAACUCUGUUAUUAGGGAAGAACAAACGUGUAAGUAACUGUGCACGUCUUGACGGUACCUAAUCAGAAAGCCACGGCUAACUACGUG
rnacentral:rRNA from 1 species